rfam:Triticum aestivum genome assembly, contig: Triticum_aestivum_CS42_TGACv1_scaffold_378646_5AL
AGUAUACUCCCUCCGUUCCAAAUUACUCGUCGUGGUUUUAGUUCAAAUUGGUUUUAGUUUAAAUUUGAACUAAAACCACGACGAGUAAUUUGGAACGGAGGGAGUACAAC